AACGAACGCUGGCGGCAUGCCUAAUACAUGCAAGUCGAACGAGAUCUUCGGAUCUAGUGGCGCACGGGUGCGUAACGCGUGGGAAUCUGCCCUUGGGUUCGGAAUAACUUCUGGAAACGGAAGCUAAUACCGGAUGAUGACGUAAGUCCAAAGAUUUAUCGCCCAAGGAUGAGCCCGCGUAGGAUUAGGUAGUUGGUGAGGUAAAGGCUCACCAAGCCGACGAUCCUUAGCUGGUCUGAGAGGAUGAUCAGCCACACUGGGACUGAGACGCGGCCCAGACUCCUACGGGAGGCAGCAGUAGGGAAUAUUGGACAAUGGGCGGAAGGCUGAUCCAGCAAUGCCGCGUGAGUGAUGAAGGCCUUAGGGUUGUAAAGCUCUUUUACCCGGGAUGAUAAUGACAGUACCGGGAGAAUAAGCUCCGGCUAACUCCGUG
rnacentral:rRNA from 1 species